CCUACGGGUGGCUGCAGUGAGGAAUAUUGGUCAAUGGACGAGAGUCUGAACCAGCCAAGUAGCGUGAAGGAUGACUGCCCUAUGGGUUGUAAACUUCUUUUAUAUGGGAAUAAAAUGUUCCACGUGUGGGAUAUUGUAUGUACCAUAUGAAUAAGGUUCGGCUAACUCCGUGCCAGCAGCCGGGGUAAUACGGAGGAUCCUAGCGUUAUCCGGAUGUAUUGGGUUUCAAGGGAGCGUAGGUGGAUUGUUAAGCCAGUUGUGAAAGUGUGCGGCUCAACCGUAAAAUUGCAGUUGAAACUGGCAGUCUUGAGUACAGUUGAGGUAGGCGGAAUUCGUGGUGUAGCGGUGAAAUGCUUAGAUAUCACGAAGAACUCCGAUUGCGAAGGCAGCCUACUAAACUGCCACUGACAUUGAUGCUCGAAAGUGUGGGUAUCAAACAGGAUUAGAUACCCGAGUAGUC
rnacentral:rRNA from 1 species